rnacentral:lncRNA from 1 species
CGUCCGCCCCAACCCUUUGACCCAUCUGACCCUUAUCAAAUUCUAGCCCUUCAUCCCUUGUUAAUCCAAAGGCUCGCAUUAAUUCUCCCUAACCAAAUAAACCUAAAAAUCACAAACCUUCUUACGAAAAUAGCCGCCCCACACCUUCCUUAUCCUCCAAAUGCUCUGCCAUGCCCAGCCACCCUAAACCCGUCGGAAAAGUCAAUUUUCCGAUAUUCCACGUAUUGGUUCCCCAUGACCCCCCAUAAUUAUAACCCUAUUCUACUCGUUUUCCUCCCAUCUCACGUGCUUUUCGCACGCGUUUGAAGAAUUCGGACCAUUCACGAAUGGAUGAUAGUUAAAUGGGGGCCAUAAGAUUCAAAUCUUUGGAUCCUAGGUGUCCAUUUGCCUAAAAUCCGUUGUACGAAGGGUUUUCAGAAUUUUUGCGAUUUUUUUUCUUUUUUCUUAUUUGGAGAUCAAAUUUCUUGGAGAAGAAGCAAGAAGAAGCUUCUAGGACCCCUGUAUAUUUGGGGUUCUCUAGACAGAAUGGAAAAAAAAGAUUGAGGAAAAAAGCUAGGGUUUCAAAAGAGAAUUUUCCUUGGAUAAUUUGAUUUUUUUCAAAUAAUUUUUGUGUUUCUGGUUUUAAUCUAAAAAAUACAAAACAAAAAAUAUAUACAUACAGAUUCUGCUCUUCUAUUGGAAUUUCGAAAUAUUGGUGUUCAAAUUAUGGAGUUCGUUCGAUGGGUUUGGAGUUGACGAGUCUGAAGUUCGUUGGAGGUCAAGUUUGCGGCUCUUAAACUCAUUUUGUUACUACCUUGCGCCUUCUCUGUCGGAUACUCGAAUUCCAACGCCAAUUUUCUCUGUAUUUUCUUCGAAACAAAAUUAAUCAAAAGCUCAUUUUCAGGUUCCUUUUUGAUUCCCCUUCUCUCUAAUUUUCGUGUUGAUUGACAUAUGAUAAGAAUUAAAGCUAAAUUGGUUAUAAAUUGUCUGAUGCUCGGUUAAUAUUAGAGAAAAGUAU